GUUCAACUCUCACCCCAACCAUCAACGAAAAUGUAGCUGCAGGUCUUGGGUGCUUUGAAACCCUCAUUAAAUUAGUAAAUUGUCUCGUAUUUAAUAAUUCAAACUAUUAGAUGAAACGGCCACAUGGUCGUGCAUGUUGCAAACCUAACAUAACUAACAAAGGUUUCCUCUAUUGAGUCGGAUCAAGGAUUUUAACUUUAUGGUUUUGGAUUAAAAAAUCCCUCUAAUUUACGGUGUCCGAAUCCUAAUUUUUUUUCACUUA
rnacentral:misc_RNA from 1 species